AAAGAGUGUAGUUUUACAGUGUUCACAUCCAAAGUUUAACCGUUUAUUUUAUUUAAAUUUUUUAUAAUUAGUAUUUUUUUUAUUUUUAGAUGAUAAAAUAUAAAUAAUACUUUAUAUAUCACUAAUUUUUUUAAAAAAAUUAUAAAUUUUUUAAAUAAAACGGAUGGUAAAAUAUUUGACACGGAAACUUGUAUCUGUAUGUAAA
rnacentral:pre_miRNA from 1 species